rnacentral:lncRNA from 1 species
CUAGCUAUAUAUAUAUUUUUUUCUCAAGUGUGAAAGCGGAAGGUCCUGCACAUAAAAAAUAUUCAACUUCAGAGACCUUUUAACGCCUUUGAUUACGUGGUCAAGACCCGGUACUACGGGUAUGAGAUGUGGCAGAAAAUACCCAGAAAUGGGUGUAGAAUCAACUCGCAGAAAUGCCCGGUCAAAGAAGGGCUUGCUAGAACUCUGAAGAAAGGCUUAAAGCAGAGCUUUCUCACUGACUCAGGAAAGGUUCAAUCAUCAGAAAUGGCCCUAAUGAAU